UCAAUGAUGUUGAUCUGAACGAGUAUGUGGCAUACACCGUGUUCAGAGAGCCGCUAGCUGCUGCGAAGGCGGUACACAGGAAGCCACAGAAUGGAUCAGGGAGUCGCGCAGGCGAACCGCAAGCAGUAGCCCGCGCCGGGAAAGCGCACCCGUUAUCAAUGCGCGGGGUAUCGGCUCUUAAACGCCCGUACCUUAUGAAUGAGCGGUCAUCGUAUUGAUGAUCAUCAAGGUGGCACCACGGGAAAGCCUCUUCUCGUCCUUGUU
rnacentral:ncRNA from 1 species